UAAGGAAUAUUGGACAAUGGGGGCAACCCUGAUCCAGCCAUGCCGCGUGAGUGAUGAAGGCCUUCGGGUUGUAAAGCUCUUUUAGAUGUGACGAUGAUGACGGUAGCAUCAGAAAAAGCUCCGGCUAACUUCGUGCCAGCAGCCGCGGUAAUACGAAGGGAGCGAGCGUUGUUCGGAAUCACUGGGCUUAAAGCGUACGUAGGCAGAUAUACAAGUCAGGAGUGAAAUCCCAGGGCUUAACCCUGGAAUUGCUUUUGAAACUGUAAAUCUGGAAUCCGGUAGAGGUUGGCGGAACUCCGAGUGUAGAGGUGAAAUUCGCAGAUAUUCGGAAGAACACCAGUGGCGAAGGCGGCCAACUGGACCGGUAUUGACGCUGAGGUACGAAAGCGUGGGUAGCAAACAGGAUUAGAUACCCAUGUAGUCCCUGAGCGGGCUGGCAAGGCGCAU
rnacentral:rRNA from 1 species